UUUCACUGAAACAAGGGAAAAGCUCAAAUGGGGUGUUGGCCCCGAGGCAGCAGUAAAGAAUAUUGUGCAAUAUACGAAGGUAAGAUACAGAGAGGGCACCUUACCUAGCCUGUCAAAUUAAGUGCCAGCAGACGCGGUGAAACUUAAGGGUUAGUCUUAUAGGCAAAAGCGUAAAGGGUGUGAUAGGCCGCCUUAUUAAAGAGAGUAAAUGGAAUUUUUCUGUAAUGGUGGUAUGUGAGAAUAGGAAAAAGAACUUUAGACGUGAGGACUAUUUAUUUCUAAGAUUAUAAUAUGAUGGCUAAAACACGAGAGUGUGGGGAGCAAACAGGAUUAGGUACCCUGGUAGUCUAUACUGUAAAUAAUGAAAAAGAUGUGAAGCAAUCCUAAAAGGUAAGAAAUUUUCCGCUUGAGUAGUACGAUCGCAAGAUUAAAAUUCAAAAAACUUGGCUGUUCACUGUUUUAAUUAGAGGAGCGUGUCGUUUAAUUCGAUAGUCCGCGAGAAACCUUACCCAAACUUGAAUCCCCUAUUGACAGGUAUUGCAUGGCCGUCGUCAAUUUGUGUAUUAAACAUAAAACCAAUUAAACUCAGUAGUUUGUCUAUUGAAUGAAGUCAGGUCUUAUUGUCCUAAUGUUUGGGGAUUAGAUGCGCUACAUUUUCUUAUACAAUGGGAAACUUUGAAUGUGAAACCCUAAAAUAAGAGUUCGGAAGGUGCCUGGAAGAUAACGGAAAGUUGGAUUUAAUAGUAAUUGAAAAGUAGAGCGUUUCAAUGAAAUCUUUUCAGUGUUAGUACAAAUAGCCCGUCGCCUUUGCUUAGAGAGGUUGUUUGGUUGCCCCUCAAGAGGGUUCUUAAUAUCUCCGAGGUAGAGUAAGUCGUAACA
rnacentral:rRNA from 1 species